AUGGAUUUUUUCGGAGGAGAGAAUCGUCUGUACCAUAUUUCCUUCCGACUGGAUGAAAACAAGCUAGUAUUCAACUCACACUUCUCCGGUGUGUGGGGAACAGAGAUUAGGCAAUUGGUACCGAGUCUCUGGUGGAGAUACGACUGGAUCAAGGCAUGUACAUGCUAGCUAUAGAUGGAUCAAGCAUACAUAACUUCACAGACAGAUACCCGAAUGCGAUUCCGGAAAACAUCUUGUUCAGGGGCGACGCGAAGCUCACAGCAGUGUACAUCACCAUGUAACGUUGUUGUCAUGAUCAACUGACUCUCGCUCACAAACCCUGCAAAACGAAAAGAUCCCACAGCUGAACUAAACAGUUUCUGGACAUACAAAGCAAUGUGAACAUUGUAUCAUCAUGCGCAGUCAGCGGAGUAUCAGACGUUUCUUUCAAAACCAUGGGUGACACAUUUUUUGGUCACUCGGCUUCUGUACUCCUAAUGUCUCUUUUAGAUGACAUUGCGGUUUCAAAAACGUAUAUUGUAUAACGUAUUCA